UCACGGUUUGCACCGGCAGUCUUGUUAGAGUUCCCGACAUUACUCGCUGGCAACUAACAACAGGGGUUGCGCUCGUUAUAGGACUUAACCUGACACCUCACGGCACGAGCUGACGACAACCAUGCAGCACCUUGCAAAAUGUCCGAAGAAAAGGGUGUUUCCACCCCUGUCAUUAUGCAUUUAAGCCCUGGUAAGGUUCCUCGCGUAUCAUCGAAUUAAACCACAUGCUCCACCGCUUGUGCGGGCCCCCGUCAAUUCCUUUGAGUUUCAUUCUUGCGAACGUACUCCCCAGGUGGGAUACUUAUCACUUUCGCUUAACCACUCAUCACACCAAAGUGCAACAAACAGCUAGUAUCCAUCGUUUACGGCGUGGACUAC
rnacentral:misc_RNA from 1 species